rnacentral:rRNA from 1 species
GACGAACGCUGGCCGCGUGCUUAACACAUGCAAGUCGAACGCUGAAGCUUGGUGCUUGCACUGGUUGGAUGAGUGGCGAACGGGUGAGUAAUACGUGAGUAACCUGCCCUUGACUCUGGGAUAAGCCUGGGAAACUGGGUCUAAUACUGGAUACGACAUGUCACCGCAUGGUGGUGUGUGGAAAGGGUUUUACUGGUUUUGGAUGGGCUCACGGCCUAUCAGCUUGUUGGUGGGGUAAUGGCUCACCAAGGCGACGACGGGUAGCCGGCCUGAGAGGGUGACCGGCCACACUGGGACUGAGAGACGGCCCAGACUCCUACGGGAGGCAGCAGUGGGGAAUAUUGCACAAUGGGCGGAAGCCUGAUGCAGCGACGCCGCGUGAGGGAUGACGGCCUUCGGGUUGUAAACCUCUUUCAGCAAGGAAGAAGCGAAAGUGACGGUACGUGCAGAAGAAGCGCCGGCUAACUACGUG